UAUUGGAGAUCCGGGAAGAAAUAUAGAUGGGAUCUUGGAAAUAAAUAGGAUUUGAGCGUUUCCGCGGGAGAUUAUUCAGGGUUUGGGUAAUUAGGCCAAGAGUUUUAAGGGGGGAGGGAAAUGGGGGAGGAUCCGAGAAGAGGAUUUCAUGAGAUUUGUCUGAAUGGGAUUGGGGAAACAACAAGAAGAGAGAGAAAGAAAGAGAGAGAGAGAGCUGAGGAAACGUAGUCUUCGUUCGCAGGAUGAGAGGAGAAGAAGGUUUCCGUUGAUCCAGUGGCUGGAUUCGAAGCUCGGAGAUCUUGAAACCCUCUCGCUGUGUGUGUGCGCAGUUCGGCGGCAACCGUUGAUUCUGUGAAAUUUUUAGUUGUUUGUUAUUAGGUCUACUUUUAAUUGAGUUUCUUGUCCGUCUAAUUUGAUCUUUUAAUGAUUUAGAUGUUAUUGGUUUCUUGUCCGCCUACUUUGCAUUCUUUCGAGUAAUGAGUUGAUGUUGACAUCGAAUUGGAUCUAAAAAUUAACAGAGCAUGGAUAAUGAUCUCCCAUGUUCAUGGUCUUAUGAUAAAAAAGUUGGUAGCUU
rnacentral:lncRNA from 1 species